rnacentral:rRNA from 1 species
AUUGAACGCUGGCGGCAGGCCUAACACAUGCGAGUCGAGCGGAUGAAGGGAGCUUGCUCCUGGAUUCAGCGGCGGACGGGUGAGUAAUGCCUAGGAAUCUGCCUGGUAGUGGGGGAUAACGUCCGGAAACGGGCGCUAAUACCGCAUACGUCCUGAGGGAGAAAGUGGGGGAUCUUCGGACCUCACGCUAUCAGAUGGGCCUAGGUCGGAUUAGCUAGUUGGUGGGGUAAAGGCCUACCAAGGCGACGAUCCGUAACUGGUCUGAGAGGAUGAUCAGUCACACUGGAACUGAGACACGGUCCAGACUCCUACGGGAGGCAGCAGUGGGGAAUAUUGGACAAUGGGCGAAAGCCUGAUCCAGCCAUGCCGCGUGUGUGAAGAAGGUCUUCGGAUUGUAAAGCACUUUAAGUUGGGAGGAAGGGCAGUAAGUUAAUACCUUGCUGUUUUGACGUUACCAACAGAAUAAGCACCGGCUAACUUCGUG